rnacentral:rRNA from 1 species
UACGUAGGGUGCGAGCGUUAAUCGGAAUUACUGGGCGUAAAGCGUGCGUAGGCGGUUUGUUAAGUCAGAUGUGAAAUCCCCGGGCUUAACCUGGGAACUGCAUUUGUGACUGGCAAGCUAGAGUAUGGCAGAGGGGGGUAGAAUUCCACGUGUAGCAGUGAAAUGCGUAGAGAUGUGGAGGAAUACCGAUGGCGAAGGCAGCCCCCUGGGCCGAUACUGACGCUCAUGCACGAAAGCGUGGGGAGCAAACAGG